AGUGAACGCUGGCGGCAGGCCUAAUACAUGCAAGUCGAACGGCAGCACGGCAGAGCUUGCUCUGUGGGUGGCGAGUGGCGGACGGGUGAGGAAUACAUGGGAAUCUGCCCAGUCGUGGGGGAUAACGUAGGGAAACUUACGCUAAUACCGCAUGCGCCCUUCGGGGGAAAGCCGGGGACCUUCGGGCCUGGCGCGAUUGGAUGAGCCCAUGUCGGAUUAGCUAGUUGGCGGGGUAAAGGCCCACCAAGGCGACGAUCCGUAGCUGGUCUGAGAGGAUGAUCAGCCACACUGGAACUGAGACACGGUCCAGACUCCUACGGGAGGCAGCAGUAGGGAAUAUUGGACAAUGGGCGCAAGCCUGAUCCAGCCAUGCCGCGUGAGUGAAGAAGGCCCUCGGGUUGUAAAGCUCUUUUGUCCGGAAAGAAAAGCGCCGGGUUAAUACCCUGGUGUCCUGACGGUACCGGAAGAAUAAGCACCGGCUAACUUCGUGCCAGCA
rnacentral:rRNA from 1 species